ACACCUUGGCGGGGCGGCUCGACAUCCGAAUAGUAUACCGAUUUUUAGGUUUUCGACCCUUUUGGAGCCAUUCUCACCCUUGUUUCAACCAUCUGAGGAGGUAGUUAGGCGCCGGAGUUAGCGUUGUGGGUGACUUUGGCCAAGGCCAAGGAGGUAAGUAACCUUACUGUUGACAUUAGUUAUGUAUGUAUGUUGGUGCGUGCCCUGUGGCCCUUGCAUG